GAGAGAGAGAGAGAGAGAGUUGACCGAUUAUUUGCUUUUGCUGAACAUCACUACACCAGCUUCAAAAUUUAUGUUGAAUCUCCUUUUGUUUGAAACUCCAAAAGGAGAAUUGCAUUACAUGACCCAAAGGCAACAAUACAAUAAAGGAUCCAAAUCGUGAUCUAAAUACACAAGGCCCCCACAAAACUGCUAAAAGCGUAAGAACAUAAUAACAGGCCUAAAGGCCCCAAAAAGCAAAACCCACCAGACCCGAGGAUCCGAUUUCUUUUUCUUGACAGCGCCGCACACCAUCUACAUUUUGCAGGGGCGACGACCAGCCAGCGAGCAUGUAGUCGGCGAAACGCCCAACCUCAAACAACCAAGGAAACUCCAUGCAACCAACAGAGGCAGCCGAAGAAGGGACCCAAAUGCACAAAGGACCAAUGAUCAUGGAACAGGUGACUCAGCAGGUCAGACCGACGAGAGGGGGUGGUAGAGCUACACAGCCUCUCUAUCUCAUGGAGCCUUAAGGUUUGACGUUGGAUCCUAAGCCCGAGCUAAACAAAAGAAACCCAAGAUAGUAGCAAGAACCGCUGAGCUGCAACACAGAUUAACCAAGGAAAACACCCACAAUAUAAUCUCUUGAUCUUCAAAACCACAAGCACAAAUGUAUUUACACGCCACUCCAGCAAUGGGAGGGUGGAGUCCCACAGCUGGCGAUCUUGGGUAGGGGACCUCAAAACAGAGACAAAGGAAACGAGAGGGAACGCUCUCCACAACGGAGAGAGUUCUUUUAAAAGGGUGAUUAAAAAACAAAUUGUAAAUAUUUGUCUCUUCAGUAAUGCUUGAGAUGCUCUACCUUCUUGCAAACGAUAUACAAAUUCCACCUUCCCUUCCCUUUUCAGUUGCAG
rnacentral:misc_RNA from 1 species